rnacentral:lncRNA from 1 species
CCCGGCAGCAAUCCACUGGACACCCCACCCCACCACGCCUACCCCGCUCCUCUGUACAGCCACCUGGUUCCACACUACAAAGACGCAGAGGACACCGAACCACCAGACCACUGUACUGGGCCAUGAAAUCAAACCAUUUCUGACACAAGGAUUAAUUAUCAAUUGAAUACAACUAUAAAAUAUUAUAAUUCCCCAAGAAAAU